rnacentral:rRNA from 1 species
GACGUAGGGUGCGAGCGUUGUCCGGAUUUAUUGGGCGUAAAGAGCUCGUAGGCGGCUCGUCGCGUCGACCGUGAAAACCAGCAGCUUAACUGCUGGCUUGCGGUUGAUACGGGCGGGCUAGAGUUCGGUAGGGGAGACUGGAAUUCCUGGUGUAGCGGUGAAAGUGCGCAGAUAUCAGGAGGAACACCGGUGGCGAAGGCGGGUCUCUGGGCCGAUACUGACGCUGAGGAGCGAAAGCGUGGGAGCGAACAGG